GACGAACGCUGGCGGCGUGCUUAAUACAUGCAAGUCGAACGGAAAGACGCUGCGUUUGUUCGUUUCUCGAUUGGCGCACACGUGUGUAACACGCGAGUAUCCUGCCCUUGUCUGUGUGAUAACUCCUCGAAACUCGGGCGCAUACCGCAUAUGAGCUCCUGCUCCAUGUUGGUGGACAGUAAGUUUCGGCGGUUGGGGAUCGACUCGCUGCUUCUCCGCUUGUUGAUGUGGUAGUGGCUUACCAGGGCUUUGACGGCUAGCCGGCCUGAGAGGGUGACCGGCCACAAUGGGACUGAGAUACGGACCAGAAUCCUACGGGAGGCAGCAGUGGGGAGUAUUGCACAAUAGGCGGAAGUGAGAUGAAGAGACGUCGCGUGCGUGAAGCCGGCUUUCGGGGGAAGAACAGCUGUCGAAGGUGAUGAGGCGGGAGUGACGGUAACGAGUAAAAAAGCACCGGCUAACUACGUG
rnacentral:rRNA from 1 species